GACGAACGCUGGCGGCGUGCUUAACACAUGCAAGUCGAACGGUGAAGCGCCUUCCUUUUUGGUGGGUGUGGAUGAGUGGCGAACGGGUGAGUAACACGUGAGUAACCUGCCCCCUUCUUCUGGAUAACCGCAUGAAAGUGUGGCUAAUACGGGAUAUUCUGGGUCUGUCGCAUGAUGGGUCUGGGAAAGAUAUUGUUUCGGUGGGGGAUGGGCUCGCGGCCUAUCAGCUUGUUGGUGGGGUGAUGGCCUACCAAGGCGGUGACGGGUAGCCGGCCUGAGAGGGUGGACGGUCACACUGGGACUGAGACACGGCCCAGACUCCUACGGGAGGCAGCAGUGGGGAAUAUUGCACAAUGGGCGCAAGCCUGAUGCAGCGACGCCGCGUGAGGGAUGGAGGCCUUCGGGUUGGGAACCUCUUUCGCCAGUGAAGCAGGCCUGCCUCGUUUGUGGGUGGGUUGACGGUAGCGGGAUAAGAAGCGCCGGCUAACUACGU
rnacentral:rRNA from 1 species